UCCACUAAGCCCAAGCAAGCCUAUUAAUCUGACAUGUUUAUCAUUCCAUCAUAAACUGCUAAGUCAUAUAUCAUAACUUAGAAUCAAAAUAAUAUUAAGCAUUGCCCCACUUCAUACUGGCAUACCAAACAGGUGUAUAUACAUUGUCUACACAUGUAUCUUAAUAAUUCACAUUAGGUUUGUCUAUACACAACAAAAGGAGACUCGAUGUCCAGCGAAAAGACUCGGACGAAUGUACAGCUACUGAAUGCCGAGACACCUACCAAAAUAUGGAUACAAGUCCACGAGGACACCUCGUCCUAGUUACCGACUGUCUUUCAAUCUGAAAACAUGAAGUUGAAAACGGUGAGCAUAAACUUAGUGAGUGAACAAGAAAGGAACAAGCAUACUAUAAGGAAUGUUUAUCGAAAUCAUGAUGCACUCAUAUUCUCAAAACAAUGCAAUUUGUUCUAGUUCUUAGUAGAACCCCUCAUGUAAACCCCUCAUGAGUAAAUCACUUAAAAGAUCCAUACUCAACUAUGGUACCAAAGAAUCGAAAAAUAUAGCAAAACCCACAAGUUAGCCAAAAUGGACAGAAAGUUUCUCGUUGCAGCGAACUUUAUUCUCGCUGCAAAGAGAACUAGGUCUGGUGAAGGCCCUCAAACCUGAGAGUUUCUCGCUACAGCAAAAAUGAAUCUCACUGCAGCGACAGUCAGAACAUCAAGGAAAAAGUCUCAUUUUCCUUUAACACAAGCCAUCCUGUUAAAAUAACAAUAGCAACAUGUAACACAUGUAAACUCCCAAAUUUCAACAAGUCAAAUGCUCACAUAUUUGCAUUUACAACCAUAUACCAUAUAUAUAUAUAUAUAUAUAUCAAUCAUCAUAUACACCCUCCCAUCAUCAUCAUCUCAUAUGCAACGGCUUAUGCGUACUCCCACUCACAUAUAGCCGGGUCAGCAACGGCUUAUGUCCACUCCCACUUGCACAUAGCCGAGUCAGCAAUGGCUUAUGUGCAUUCCCAUUCGCACAUAGUCGGGUCAGCAACGGCUUAUGUGCACUCCUACUCGCACAUAGUUAGGUCAGCAACGGCUUAUGUGCACUCCUACUCGCACAUAGCGGGGUCAGCAACGGCUUAUGUGCACUCUUACUCGCACAUAGCUGGGUCCACAUCAACAUGCAAAGAAGAAUCCAAUGUAUAUCAUGCAUUUUAUCAUAUUGUGAUAACACAUAAACCAUUGUAUAGCACAUUUUCACAAUAUAAAAUCAUUUUACUAAAAGCAUGUUCCCAAGGUACAUUUUCUAAGACAAGUUGGAUAGAAUCUUUCAUAUUCUCCAAAACAAAUUUGAAAUGCAAGUCCACUCAUCGGUAUUCGUUGAGCCUUUAGCCGACUCUUAAUCCCUCUAAUGAUCCAAUUGGGGUGAUGGGGCUUCGUUAGUACCUACCAUCAAAUUAACAUUUCCAUAAUGUCAAUUUACAUACUAUAAACCCUAAAAGCUAUUUUUUAGCUAGCUUUCAAUUGCCAUUUAAAUGGCCAUCCAUCAUCACUUUCCUAUCACUCCAUAGUGAAUUAAUAAUGUCAACUACAAAAUAUUCACAAAUCAAAUCUCUAGUCAUUCUCAACACUUAAAACCCAAUACUAGUUUACUACUCACCUUAAUAGAUUUGUAACUUUGAACUUCUUUCCAAAAGCUCUCAAGCUAUUAAUAAAGCUUCCUCUUUCUCUCUCUAAAACACCUAACUAGUGAGAGAGUAUGGAAACAAGAUUUUCAUCAUUUUCAAGGGUUUUAAAGUGAGAGAGUGGAAAAAUACAAGGGUUCUAGUCAAAAGGGCACCAAGGAGUGAAAAUUAGAGCCAGAGAGAGAAAAUUAUGAAAGCUUCACAUCAAGCUUUUAUGGAGGAAUUGAAGAAACGUGAAAGGGAAGAGAACAAGAAGAAGAAGCUGUUGGAAAUCCCAAGAAGUUGCUAGAAGGAGAGGAUAUUUAUGGCCUCAACUUAUCCAUUCCUUUGGAAAUUACUAAAAUGCCCCACCACAAAUUAGCUUAAUCCUUGAAAUCCCACACUUUUUCUUCAAUUUUUCCCACCUAGGGUUUGUGUUCUUUCCUUUCCUCUUCACUUCAUGCUUUGGCCGGCCAUAUGGGUGAGACUAAGAGAGUUUUAAAUAGAUUUUACAAGGAAAUUCUAGAAUAAUCCAAGUUUAACACAUGGCAUGUUUUCAUUGGUCCAUGUGUAAUACUUAUCCAUUAUGCAAUCUCUCUCCACCACAUAAAAUGUUUCAAUUAUCCACAAUGUAAAAUGUUAAUGGCUGAAAUCCAUGGGCAUGACAAAUGUCAGGUGGUGUAAAAUUUCAAAAUUCCCAUUUUAUCCUCGAGUGACAAAAUUACCAUUUUGCCCAUAGAACAUGAAAAUCAUCAAAAUUUUUAUGUCCUUGUCAUUUCACCGAUAUUUUCAUCAUUCAUUUAUGCUUUAUGCCUACUUAAGCCAUAAUAUUGUUUAAAACUUACUUUUAUGGGCUUAUUGAGAAAAUGACGAAAUUACCCAUGAUUAGGGAUAUCGUGUAUAUUUCUAUCUACGAGUCUAUAAAGGUCAAGGUCUCACAUUUUCCCCCACUUAAAGAAAUUCGAUCCCUGAAUUUAAAUUCAACUAUAAGGUGGGGUAUUGUCUUCUUAUCUGAUGUUCAACUUCUCAUGUCAUCUCUUCUAUUCGAGCAUUCAUCCACAAUACUUUAACCAUUGGGAUGCUCUUAUUCAUUCCUAUAUGUACCCUAAUAUUUUUGUUUACCUCACAUUUAUGUAGCUUCAAUCUUCUUAAUCAUAUGUGUCACGACCCGGAACUCCCAUCGAGCCCGUGACAACCGCUGCGACAUCUUGAUCGACAUUCAUUACCCGAAAUGUCAACAGAAACCCCACAAGGUUUUAAUAUCAGCUUCCCAUUUCCCCUGUGGGUAACUGUUGCCAAAUACCACAUUCUAAAAGAUUUAAAACUAUUUCCAACUUAAACAAAUAAAAUAAUAAUUUUCGUCUCACAGAGGUAGUUUUGUCAUUUAUCCCAAAAAUCUCAAAAUCAGUUAAAAAUAUAGUAUGUAAGUGGAAAACACAUAUUUCAUAAUCAAAAAUAAUUUUGGAUGUGUAAAACAUUCGUUAAAAAUGGAAUUAUGACUGUUAGAAUAAAAUAAAAGUAUUAAAUAAAAUAUUCAAUUUUCACAUAAAAUAAUAUUUUAAGAACAUUGCAUAAAUAAUUUUUAUAGUGUAAAAGCAAAAUAAAUUCCUACAUACCGUAAUGCAGAUAACCAAAGUAUAGAAUUAAUUUACAGUGACACGUGGGCCCACGAAUGACCAAAAGCAUAAAAAAAAAUGAACCUACAGUUUUUGGAUGUGGCAAGUUCAAUUGUAAUCCUUACCGAUAUCAGUUAUCUACAAUCUAUUCUAAACCUGAAAUGGGUGGAAAUGAGGGUGGUGAGAUUAUAAAAUCCCAGUGAAUAAACAAACAUCACUCAAAAUAUCUAAAGUCGAGUAAAAGAAGACUAUUAAAACAUUUCAUCAAACUGUAAUUUAUCAUCUUUCAACUUAUUUCAACCAAAUGAAAUCAAUUUAUUUAAAGCAAGUAAUCAGUAUGGCUUAUGAAUUUCUUAAAAAGCUUGGCUCAUGCAAAAAAUUAUUAUCAUACUCAGUUAUUUGGGAUACCUUGGCCGAGGGCUAUCCCAACUGAGUUCGCCAAGGCUAUUAGAAAGUCAUGUUUUUAUUUUGAAAACAUAGCCGUUCCUUGGCGUUGGCCGAGUUCCCCUUCACGUGGUGGUUUGGCGUGAAGUGAACUCUAAAAGUUAUACCUCGGGAGUUACCUUACUCACCUCUCCAACCGAGGUAAAAAUAUAACAAGAUUCUGUGCCCUUCUAAUAGGCUAGUCCACAGAACCCAACCCACUGCAGCAAGUCAAACCCAUCAUACAAUAAAAUUUUGAUAGCAUGACAGGGCUAAUAUAUUACUACCCAGCCUGCAAGGGUAAAAUAAAGCAAUUCAUACAAUUCAUAAAAAAUACAGCCUAACCAGUCAUGCCAAUACAAUAACAUAAGCCAUUAAUUCAAUUUUAAAUUUACAACAUAUCAGUGGUCUCCAAUUACUCUAUUUUCAAAACCAGUAUUCGAUUUUCUAGAAAAUUUAUAAAAUAAUUUUAUAAAAUCACAAUUUUUCUUAAAACAUAGCAAUUUACCAUUUUAACUCAUUUUCAUAAAAUUCACCAAAAUCGAAUAAAAGCAUACUUUAGAUAAUUAAAAUGAUGGUAAGGUUACUCAUAGUGUCUAGAGUAGGGAUUUUCGAAAUACUCAGACUACUGGUCCUCGGGUGCAAUUCCCUUGCCUUUAUCGGAUGACUCACCACCUUUUUAAUGCUUGAUUUCUUGAUUUCUCUUGAUUUUUCCCAAAUUUUUCAGGUAGAGUUCUUAUUUCUUUUCCCUCUUUUCUCUAUUGGUUUGGACGGCUGAAGAAGAUGAAAAUUCUAGAAUUUUGACCUUUUUAAAGGCUAAAAUAAUAUAAUAUUAUUUUAUUUUUUUUUAAUGUUUUAUUAAUUCCUUAAAUUCUAGCCAUCCAUUUGUUUCCAAAAUUUCACCAUACACUUGUCCCACAUAUCCAUAGCUUAGAUAAAGUUCUCAGACUUAUCCAAAGUCUUGGUGGAGUAAUUUUUUUGAAAUUUACACUUUGGCCCUUAUAAAAGUCAAAAAUUACAUUUUUGCCCCAAAAACUAAAAAAUUACCCAUAGACAUAUUUUUCAUCCCUUAUACUCAUACCAUUCUCCAAUUUGUCAAAUUUGAUCUAAAUUCUCUCAAAAUCUUAAAUUUUGUCCGUGGGUGGUAAAAUUACGAUUUUACCCCUACACUCUAGAAACUAUCGAAAUUAAACUUUUUCACUGCCAAACCCUCAAAUUAUACUCCAAUAAGUCAAAUGAGGCCAAAACAAAUCUUUUCUAAAAAUUCCCAUUGUGUCCCUAGGUGGCAAAUGACCAUUUUACCUCUAGACAGUGAAAAUUUUGGUUUGACUCCAAAUUGAUCCUCGAACUCCAAAUCACUAUAUUAAACCAUUUUGGGACUUUAAUAUUCUUAAUUUCAUUUUAAAUUCUCUAUUUGAUCUAGUUCGAGGCUUAAAUUAACUUAAUUAUAUCAUUUGGUACAUUGUCGUCUUUUAACGAUUUUUCUUCCGGGGCUUUCCAAGUAUGCAAGCAUAUUGUCAAUCAUAUGAAUGACAUGACAAGUAUUUUAUAAGGUCGGGCUUGACAAUAUGAGUCCAUCACGUACGGGUUAACCGCGCUAUAGAUUACAUUUCCUUGAUACCAUUUGCUUAACUAUCUCCUAAAGUCUCUUAUGUCCACGUAACUCAACCUCUAAUGGGAUUUCUUAUCAUUACGCUACCUUUAUCACUUGCCAACAAUCAAUAAUUCCCACUUCAGAAUACUCUUUCCAUAUUACAAUUGCUUCCUGCAACUUUCCCCAAAACCUACUAGUAAACUGAGCUCCUCUGUCAGAUACUAUAGAAAUGGGGAUACCACGCAGCUGUACUAUCUCAUCUACAUAAACUCAAGCAUAUUAGGCAGCACUAUAAGUAGUCUUAACUAGAAGAAAAUUAGUUGACUUUGUUAACUGGUCUACUAUGAUCCAAAUCAAGUCAAAGCCCCCACUAAUUCGAGGCAAACCCGUUACAAAGUCCAUAGAAACAUGCUCUCACUUCCACUCGGGUACUAGUAAUGGCUGUAGUAGCCUCGCAGGCUUUUGAUGCUCGGCCUUAGCCUACUGACAAACCAGGCACUUGGAGACAAACUCAGCUACAUCUCUCUUAAGUCCUUCCCACCAAUACACCUUUUUCAAAUCUUGAUACAUCUUUAUAGCCCCUAGAUGUACCACAUAGGCUGCCAUGUGAGCUUCCUCUAAUAUUUCUCUCCUCAACCCGUCCCAUCAGGCACAUAAAGUCUAGUUCCAUACCUUAACACUCCAUCUGUGCCUUUGUAAACAUUUUUCCUUUUCUUCCCUAAGGAUCCUCUAAGGCCUUAACUACAAACUCAUCUUUAAUCUUGUCCAUUAAAAUAGGCCUCACUCUAAAAUGUGCUAGCAAUGCAUUUGUCUCAACAACUUCCAAAUGCACACCUAUGUCUCCCAAGCUAUGGAUCUCCCUAACCAAGGAUCUCCUAUCUGUAGCAAUAUGUGCCAGACUCCCCAUGGUGAGACGCUAGGUCGAAUAAAGCCUUUAUCCAACAAAUCUUCUAACUGAUCCUUAAGCUUUUUAAGCUCUGCAAGUGCCAUUCUAUAUGGGGGUAUAGAUAUAGGUCUAGUGUCGAAAAUCAAAUCUAUGCAAAAUUCAAUCUCCUACUCGGGAGGUAAACUGGUAGUUCCUCAAAAAAUACAUCCAUGAACUCAUUCACCAUCGACACUUGACUUAUAUUUCCAACCUUCGCCUCAGUAUCCCUUACCACUGCCAAGUAACCUAUACAACCCUGUCGUAAUAACCUUCGGGUAAACAGGACCGAUAUCAAAUUGGUUCGAACAUUACUUUUAUCCCCCUGAAUACUAAAUGAUGGUUCAUCGGGAAAAUCAAAUCUAACCAAUUUAUGAUAGCAGUCCACACUAGCAUGGCAGGGUGAUAACCAAUCCAUCCGCAAGAUCACAUCAAAGUCUAUGGUGUCUAACACCACUAGAUUCAUCAAAGUAUCUUUGUCCUUGACUCGCACUACAUAGGACUUAUAUUCCCAUUCGACUACAAAUACCUCCUUUAAAGGAGUAGACAUCACUAAUUGUUCCUCUUUCCUAACACGAUCUCUACCCAACCGAGAUGCAAAACAUGGAGAGAUUAAAGAGUGGGAAGCACUAGGAUCAAAUAAGACUUGAGCAUUCAUAUUGCAAACUAAGAGAAUACUUGAGACCACUGCAUUGGAUGUCUGAGCCUCCUGCUGUGUUAAAGCAAACACCCUCGCCUAGCCUCUACCAACACAACUCUGACGUUCGGACCCAAAUGGCCUACCUUGAGAGGAAGUACCAGCACCUCUACCUCUAGAUCCACUAGCUUCCCUAUCAGACGAGGCGACAACUGAAGAAGUAAACGAAGCUGGCUGGGUGGAACCAUGAGUAGAAUCUUGUGAUUGAUGAGCCAUCGUACAAUCCCUCAUAAUAUGCCCAGGUUGACCACACCUGAAACAAACUCCCGUAGCACGAAGGCAUCUUCCUUUAUGCCGUCCCCCACAAGUAUGGCAAGGAAGGAUAAGUUGACUUCCUUGUCUCGUAUCUUGCUGCCUUCCAGCACUGAAGGUUCUUUGUCCCGCUGCGAUACUAGCACUAGGCAAGUCACUCCCUUGUUGGGGAAAUCGUGAGUCCCUCUGUGGACCCUGACGGCUAGAAGAUGAACCACCACUGCUGAAAUCUCUACGACCUUGAUAACCCUUUGUCUUGGCUCUUUUUGCUCUAUCCCUCAUAACCCUACUCUCACUGGUCCUCAUUUUAAUCCACUGAGCACAAUCUACUGCUACAGAGUAGGAUUUAAAAUCUCGGGAUGCCACAGCCCUAAACAGUGGCUCUACUAGCCCAUCCAUAAUCCUCUGAAUCUUCAUCUCCUCAGUGGAAACGAGGUAAGGAGCAUAUCGAGACAACUGCAUGAACUUGAUGUUGUACUCCGACACCGUCAUACUAUAGGUCUAUACCAGAGUCUCAAACUCCCUAGUUCGUGCAUUACGUACACUGAGUUGUAAGAAUCGGUCUAAAAAGGCUGCACUAAACUCACCCCAAGUCAGUGGUGCUGUAUCUGUCAGUUUGCCUCUACAUAGAGAACUAUACCACUCCUGUGCUACAUCCUCUAAUCGGAAGGCGGCUAGCUCGACUGAUCGGACACUAGAGCAUCCUAAAGCCUUACAUAUUUUCUCCAUCUUAUCUAAAAAGAUCUGGGGCUUCUCCGACGCAUCGAACCCUGAAAAUGAUGGAGACUUAAGUUUAAGAAAAUCAGGAAGAGAAAUCUCUAAGUGACCUUUCUCAACCUCAUGAUAUUGGCGGUCGGCCUGUCCUUGGGAGCUAGGGGAUUCUUGCACUGUAGGUUUCCCCUCUACUACCCUCUGUAUAUCCUCCAUAUGGGUCGCCAUCAUCUCUACAACCCGAUUAACUCCCUGUAGGCCUGUCGCCAAAUCCUCAAUGGUAAUACCCCCAGCUGGGUGUCUAUCUACAUCACCUGAGGACUGUCCCUCCUCUCGCCUACUCACAAGCGUAUCCACCCUUACCAGCCUAGUGGCCCUGCCACGUCUACCUCGGCCCCUUAAGGUGGAUGCCCGUGGCCUAUCUGCCAUCUCAGUAGGAGCAUCUUGCUCCCCCAUCCGUCUUGAGGCGGCUCGUGUCGUAGGCGGCAUUCUUACCUAGACAAGAACAAACACCUGUUACCAAACACAUUUCAUAAUCAUACUCAAGAAAAAAGGUGGUUUCUAAGAUAGGGAAUCUAUGCGGUCCCUUGGUCAUAAAAAUGUGUCGCAGUUCACACUUCACAACCGAAGUUCCCACAUAAAAACCCGACAUUCCGCUGGACCAACAAAUGGAAAUCCUAGGACCUAGACAAACCUAGCGCUUUGAUACCAACUUUGUCACGACCCAAAUUUCGGGCCAUGACCCGCGCAUGGGCCCAAUGGACGUAGUCCAUUAAGCCUAAGCAAACCUAUUAAUCUGACAUGUUCAUCAUUCCAUCAUAAACUGCUAAGUCAUAUAUCAUAACUUAGAAUCAAAAUAAUAUUAAGCAUUGCAACUUCAUACUGGCAUACCAAACAGGUGUAUAUACAUUGUCUACACAUGUAUCUUAAUAAUUCACAUUAGGUUUGUCUAUACACAACAAAAGGAGACUCGAUGUCUAGCGGAGAGACUCGGACGAAUGUACAGCUACUGAAUGCCGAGACACCUACCAAAAGAUGGAUACAAGUCCACGAGGACACCU
rnacentral:lncRNA from 1 species